rnacentral:rRNA from 1 species
UGGGGAAUAUUGGACAAUGGGGGCAACCCUGAUCCAGCGACGCCGCGUGGGUGAAGAAGGCCUGCGGGUUGUAAAGCCCUUUCGGUGGGGAAGAAAAGCCUCGAGUUAACACCUCGGGGUCUUGACGUAACCCAUUAAAGAAGCACCGGCUAACUCUGUGCCAGCAGCCGCGGUAAUACAGAGGGUGCGAGCGUUAAUCGGAAUUACUGGGCGUAAAGCGCGCGUAGGCGGCUUUGCAAGUCGGGUGUGAAAUCCCCAGGCUCAACCUGGGAACUGCAUUCGAGACUGCAUUGCUAGAGUAUGGGAGAGGGAAGUGGAAUUUCAGGUGUAGCGGUGAAAUGCGUAGAUAUCUGAAGGAACAUCAGUGGCGAAAGCGACUUCCUGGACCAAUACUGACGCUCAUGUGCGAAAGCGUGGGGAGCAAACA